CCUACGGGUGGCAGCAGUGAGGAAUAUUGGUCAAUGGACGAGAGUCUGAACCAGCCAAGUAGCGUGAAGGAUGACUGCCCUAUGGGUUGUAAACUUCUUUUAUAUGGGAAUAAAAUGUUCCACGUGUGGGAUUUUGUAUGUACCAUAUGAAUAAGGAUCGGCUAACUCCGUGCCAGCAGCCGCGGUAAUACGGAGGAUCCGAGCGUUAUCCGGAUUUAUUGGGUUUAAAGGGAGCGUAGGUGGAUUGUUAAGUCAGUUGUGAAAGUUUGCGGCUCAACCGUAAAAUUGCAGUUGAAACUGGCAGUCUUGAGUAGAGUAGAGGUGGGCGGAAUGCGCGGUGUAGCGGUGAAAUGCUUAGAUAUCACGAAGAACUCCGAUUGCGAAGGCAGUUCACUGGACUGCAACUGACACUGAGGCUCGAAAGUGUGGGUAUCAAACAGGAUUAGAUACCCUUGUAGUC
rnacentral:rRNA from 1 species